AAACAAACGACAUGCAGAGACCGUUGGACCCAAAUUGAAGAAAGUAAAGCCGCCGUUACAUUGCUGCAUGCAUAAAGCAAUUUUUUCCACCGGUCCGCUCUAUAAAAUGUACUAAGUGGGGAGUCUUUCUCCUAAUCACCAACUUUCUCAGUUUCUUUCUUCCCAUCGAAAACCCCCCCUUCGCCGGAGAAAUGGCUGAGCUAAAACAAUUACUAAACCCUCCCAAUAUCCCCUGCCGCCACCGUACCUCUGCCUCACUCCUCUCCAUCCCAAACAAAAACUUCCUCCGCCAGCCGCUUCCUCAAUCAACCGCCGCCAUCCGCCGCCGCCACAUCCAACUCAAUCACCACGGUUCCCUCUUUUCAUCUCCCCACUCCAUGAUCAAAAGAAACCCAUCUCCAAUUCAAGCUUUCGAUUCCGCCGAAACAGAGGUCAUCACCAUCGACUCCAACAACGGCGCCACCGCCGUCGGCCCUGUAGAACCUGCACCAACCAGGUUUCAAAAACAGGCGGCGGCCAAGGACGAGUUACCCGGAGAAGGGUGUCCGGCGUUCGAAAUCCGAAACAAAGAAAUCGAGGGAUGGGAGAAGUUGCUUCUGAAGCUCCGGCUGCUUGUCGCUCCUCCGUGGCAGAGAGUUGCUCAUGGCAGCGUUCUGUGUAUCGACUUAGGCGGACCGGUCUGUGACCCUGUGUUAAUUAAUUAAAUCUCUUUUUGUUGAUUAAUUUUUAGUGUAUUUUGGUUCGUUUUCCUGACGAUUUUGUGAAUUUUUUUGGUUGCGUGCAUGUUCUAGAUAUCGGACGUUAAAGGACGGUGGUUAUCGCCGGCACUGACGCUGCCGGAGAUUUGUGAGAAUUUCGCCAAGGCGGCGAACGAUCCUCGGAUUUCGGGGAUUCUUGUGAGGUUCAACUUCAUAGAGUGUGGGUGGGCGAAAUUGGAUGAAAUUCGUCGCCAUAUUUUGGAAUUCCGGAAAUCAGGUUCCACUAAUUAACCAUUUCAGUCAGUUAAUCGGUUAAUGAUUUUAAAUACCUUAUUACCUUUGACCCGAUGAAUUUAAACUGACUGUGUCUCAUAAUUUGUUCACGGUUAUAUCUAAUUUGGUCACGGUUAAGGGCUAAAAUCGAUUAGAACGGUCGAACCAACACCAAUCCAGUUGGUUUAUGGAUAAUAGAUUUGAAAUCUUUUUAAUCCACUGUCUGACCGAAAUCCAUCAAUUAUUAACCAACCGACCAACUCCCUCUCAGAAAGUCAAUGAUAACACAACUACUCACCAACAAUACAAAUGGACAAUAAUUAAGGGGUCAGAAUCGGAUCGGGAUACCGGUCAAACCAGGGAAUGUUGUCCAAAUCUAUGUAUUUUGUAGAUCUAACCCCGACCUGAUUUUAUUUAGUCCUGACUUUCUGACUCGAAUCAUGAUUUAACCGGGCUGAGUCGGGCCCAGUGGAGAAUUUUAUAUAGAGUUUUGUCAGUGGUCGAUGAUCGAGGUUAAUUAUCUUUUCUAAUCGAAUAACUGUGCAUUUCGGUUUUGGGCAGGAAAAUUUGUGGUUGGUUACAUGUAUGCCUUUUGGGAGAAAGAGUAUUACCUUGGUUGUGCAUGUGACGAAUUAUAUGCACCUACAUUGGCUCCCUUCUCUUUGUAUGGCUUCACUCUACCUGCGGUGUUUUUUAGAGGUAAUAAUUUAGUUAAUUUUGGAAGUGAUGAAUUUCGAAAUUUGUAUCGGGUUGUAUUGUAUGCUCGACUAAGCCUCGUAAUGUCCUUGAGGGCACCAGGUAUACUGGACAAGCUGGGUAUGGAACCGCAAUGGGUUAGGAUUGGCAAGUUCAAGAAAUUUGGGGACCAAGUGAGACGAAAGACUAUCACCGAACCACAUCUCGAGGUCCUGAACAGCUUGCUUGAUGGCCGAUACGAGAAUUGGGUUGAAACUGUUUCUUCUGCUACAGGUAACCCAAAGGAAGUAUUAUCUUUGUAGCUUCUAAUAUGUGCACAUGACUUAUAAAAACCGUGGAGACCAACUGCUCACGGGGUGUAAUUGUGUUGAGCAGGAAAGACGAGAGAGGAAGUGGAGAGCUUCAUUAAUGAAGGUGUGUACGAGAUGGAGCGGGUGAAAGAAGCAGGGUUGAUAACCGACAUACUCUACGAAGAGGAUGUAAGUUAAUUAGUGAUCACUAAUUACUUGUUAAAUUUUUUUACUGUGGCCUAAAGCUUUAUAUCGAAACUGACUUCCCCAGUCACGUAAAAUUCUGGCUGCGCCGCUGUAUGUAGGUGAUGUCAAUAUUGAAAACGAGGCUUGGAGUUCCGAAGGAGAAAGAUCUGCCUACAGUUGAUUAUAAGUUCGUGCUAAACCCUAAACUUUAAACCUUGAUAUUUACUUGAGCGAGCUGAUCUCCAAGCUGAAUAAAUGAUUGAACAAAAUGUAGGAGAUACUCGAAAGUAACAAACUGGACACUGGGGUUAAACUCCGGAGAAGAUGCCAUAGGUGUGAUCCGAGCAUGUGGUAACAUCGUCGAAAAAUGGGAUUUGCUGAACGCGCCUGGCUCUGGCAUAAUUCCUGACGACAUCAUUAAACAGUUUCGUAUAAUCCGAGGUGCGUAUUCACCGGAUGUGGUCCAUGAUCAAUCUCAUCACGUCAAUUUUCCGGAUGUGUUAUGAUUUUCUUAUAUUUUGGCAGAGUCAAAGAACAUCAAAGCAGUAAUCUUCAGAAUCGACUGCUUUGGCGGUGAUGCUCUUUCAUCGGAUAUGUAAGUGUUAAUGCAGUAGCAGCACAGUGGGCUGCCGAGUUGCAUAUAUAGUGUACUUUAGGGGUUUAUGAUGUUAUUUAAGUGCAGUUUCUUAGUGACAGUAGGUUAGCUACCGUUUUUCGGAAAAGCGGUUAACAGUGAGUUUUAGUGGCCAGGCAGAUUAGUAACCGUUUCAUUUGUAGUACUGAAUGAGGUGUGUUAACGUUGACAGAAUAUGGAAGGAGAUGAGGCUACUGGCUAAAGAAAAACCAGUGAUAGCAUCACUAUCAGACAUGGCGGCCAGCGGGGGCUACUACAUUGCAAUGGGGGCGACUGCCAUCGUCGCGGAGAAGUUGUCGGUAGCUUCUUCGAUUGGUAUCAUUCAAGGUAGAAAACAUAUAACUAUAAAAAAAACAUAUUGCUAAGUGAAGACAGAUUAAUUUUAUCAGAAUGUUUUUGUGUUAGGUAAAAUGAACUUCUCCGAGCUUCAUCAGAGAAUAGGGUUGAACAAGCACAUUGUAUCAAGGGGUAGAUACGCCGAGUUCCCUACGUGUUCGCAUCGACCCUUGAGGUAAGUAAUUAGAGAUAUCAGUAUACAUGACGAUCGACUUAGAUCCUCAAAGUUGGACGGAUUAUGUGUUGUUGAGUACUUUUAGUCAAAGUUACCGUUCGCGCGGUGACCGAGUCGACUAAGAUAAAUACUUAGCUACAUUGUAUGUUUGUUUUUUUCAGGCCGGACGAGAAGGCCCUUCUGGAGGACCAAACUAUGUACUGGUACAAAAAAUAUCGCGAUAGUGCAGCAUUGUCCCGUUCCAUGAGCGUGAGUAGUAAUCCAUUUUCGAAACCAUCUUUAUAAUUAUAUGAAGUUCGAAAACACAAAUUUUCCUCAUGAAUUUAUAAUCAGUGUAUAUUCGUCGAUAUCAAUGCAGAAAGAAGAUAUGGAAAAGGUGGCACAAGGCAGAGUGUACAACGGAGAGGACGCGGUUUCAAACGGUUUAGUGGAUGCAGUUGGCGGUAUGGCUCGGGCUAUAGCUAUCGCCAAGCACAAGGCUAAUAUCCCCCUUGAUAAACCCGUGAGUAGACUGGACCUUGUUUCAAAGGAGGCUCUUGUUUUCUGUACUUUGUCAUGUUGAAAAGUAUUUACUUCUUCUUUGGCUUUGAUACAUAUCCAGGUAAAGAUUGUGGAGAUAUCGAAACCGAAUUCAGGAUUGCCGGAGUUCUUAGGUAUUUUGGGGAAUACUAUAGCUGGCCUAGGCAGAGCAUCGGCGAUGGCAUCAGCAUAUAGCGGAGCUCAAGCUCGGUUCGAUGGGGGAGAUCUCGAUAACCCCUUUUUCGCUAUAAUGAAAUAUUUUCUCGAGUUCAGCCAGACCGGGCCGGUGUAGGGCUCUAUGAAUGAGCUCUUAUAGUUAAGUCAUAUGUUAGUUGUUUGGAAAAUAAUAUGGGUUGUAACGGAUUUGUCUGUUCCCGAUUAUCGACUUUCAUCCAUGGUUGCAUUUGAGUGAGAACCUAUCAUCUUAAUUUAAAAAGUAAUGUUGGAGUUUCAUAAUUUUGGUACCUGCUUCAAAUUUACCUAGCUAAGUCUGUUAGAUUGGGGAGCAGUUUUUAUUUAACGGAUUAUUUAGUUAGAGAUGAUUAUAACUAGUUAAUGAAAUUUAUAACUAGUUAUAAUCUUUUCCUGCUUCUAGGACUAAAUUGUUACUUUUGAAAAUAUUUGGACUUCUACGGGUAGGAAUCUUAAGGUAAUUUCUAUAAUAUUUUUUCCUCGAGUGACUAAAAAUCAGUGUUAUGGAAGGCGCGAUUAGGCGUCCGCCUAGGCGGGAAAAAUCCCAAGGCGCCGGCAAAACGCCUCGUCUCGGGCAAGGCGAUGAAAUAAGGCGGCCGACCGAGUAAUCACUAAGGAAUCGCGCGAAAUCCUAUUAGGCGUUAAAACUAAAAAUAAAAAAUACAUAGUUCACCCUAAAUUGAAAGAUUUUGUGUGAUCACCUAGGAACCUACGAGUUUGACAUCGCCUUUAUGGCUUAUUUUGUAAUUUUGUUAUUGUUAUUUUGUUAUGUUUGUUUUCUUAUAUAUGAUAGCUUGAACUUUGUUAGUUACAUAACUACAACUCUGUAAACUUAUGAACAGUUAUGUUUGAUCUUGCACACUAAACCUAAAAUCUAAUGCAUUUUUUCUAAACGCCUAAUCGCGCUUAGGCAACGCCUAAUCGUUCAAGGCGUGAGGCAAGACCUCACUGCCUUAUUUACGCCUUACGCCUUCCUGAACAUUGCUAAAAAUUGACGUUCUUUAUUGGGUUCAACAUUCAUGUUAAAUGCUUCAUGUAAUAUUUUUAUUUUUUGCAAACUAAUAUGAUGGUGAAGAAACCACAAAACAGGAAAAUUUUGAGAGGUUUAUAAUGGUAAAAUAUGAUUUUAAGAAUUAUAGAAUUAUAUGAAUGGAUAAGUCUGACGAUAUAUAUUUUAAUCAUUUAAAUUAUUAUAGAUCACAAUUGACCUAUGAUGGAAUCACACUCAUAAGUCAUAUCAUCAUUGUAUGAGACCAUUUUGGCAUUCUCAAAGAAUGAUUUACAGACUUCGGACUGUCAAUACUAGUAUAGUUUUAAAAAUACUAAGUAAACGAAAAACGAUACCCAAAAGCCAUUUUAAAAAAUUAGUUGGUUACAAAAAAACAUCACAACGUAUUUUUUAUCAAUGAACUUUAUCUAUAUAUAAACAUGAAAAAAAUGUACAAAAGAGGUAAACAAAAAUUAUGGUAAUCGGGCAAAAAAACCAAAUCCUCCCACCUAAACAAUCACCUUAAGAGGAAAACUUUUCACGUUAUAAACAAAACGAGAUAAAAAAGACGAACAAAACAGAAAGGGCCAUCUCAAUUACCCUUAACACCGAAUGCACCAAUCAUGAAAAAUAAAAAAUAACAACUCCACCAAAGACUAGCACCAACAGAAGAAAUCUAAUCUGAUACAACAGUAGAACAAAGGUAAAAUUUAUAAUGUUCAUCCAGAAUAAUGUAUUAAAAGUAUAUUACCACAAUAUCUAUAGGUAAGAGAGAAAUUACAUGUUGUAUUUCUUACUGUUGGGUGAAGUGGUGAACAUCGUAACUAAAUGUUGUUUUUCGUUUUACAUUUCCACAUGUAUGUUAAUAGAAUAAAUAUAAUUAAUGAUGAAUUUUUUAGUAUAUUUAGUAUAUAGAAAGUUUUGGUGUGUUCGCUCGUCAAUUUUAUUUUGGUGUUUAUUACUUCAAGGAAUUUGGAGAGGAUUCCCAACAUUAGAGCAGUCAUUGAAGGGAGUUUGGAGAAAUUAGAUAGAAUUAGAAAAAAAUAAAAAAAUUUGAGCUUUGAAAAGGAAAAUCAGAUUCAAGUUUGAAUAAAAAUAUUGAAUAGAUCAUCGUCAAAUAUCAACAACUCAUGUAUAAGUUACAACUCGAUGAUAAACACAAAAAAGGAAGAGAAAGGGUUGGAAGGAGAGAGGAAUUUUUUUCAUUUUUAUUUUUUUAUUUUGUUGAUUAAUGAUUAGAGUUAGUGAUGAUGUGGCGUACGUGCAUGGUUGAUCCAUAUGGUAAAGUGGAUGGAAUAAAACAGAAAAUACUAACGGCGAGUUUGAUUAAUUACGACUCAGACAAUUUUGACGAAAAAUACAAUUUUCAGACGGUUAAAAAAUGCUAAAUUUAAAGAACUUUUAAAGUCAAUAAUCCAUUAAUAAGUACUUAUAAGUUAUAACCAACUGAUAAAUAUUAAUUAUAAAUUGAGUUCAAAUAAUUUAAUAUAGGAAACAUGAUAAAUUAUGAAGAUUUCCAUAUAAACCGGUCCGAUCAAAUUGUUGGUCACUGGUCCGGUCUGAUAUCCGGUCUAUUUCGAAUAACUCAUGUACUAGUUUACACUAUAAAAUUUACUAUUAAGUGGGUGUUUUUCUCCUCAAUAAAUUUCUUCCCAUCGAAAUCCCCUUCGUCGGAGAAAUGGCAGAGCUAAAACAAUCACUAAAUCCUCCCAAUAUCCCCUGCCGCCACCGUACCUCUGCCUCGCUCCUCCUCUCCAACCCAAACAAGAAUUUCCUCCGGCCGCUUACUCAAUCAACCGCCGCCGUCCGCCGCCACCAGAUCCAACUCAAUCCCCACAAUUCCCUUUUUUCAUCUCCCCACUCCAUGA
rnacentral:lncRNA from 1 species